UGGGGAAUAUUGCGCAAUGGGGGAAACCCUGACGCAGCAACGCCGCGUGAAGGAUGAAGGUUUUCGGAUCGUAAACUUCUUUGAUGAGGGAAGAAUAAUGACGGUACCUCAAAAACAAGCCACGGCUAACUACGUG
rnacentral:rRNA from 1 species